rnacentral:tRNA from 3 species
GGGAAAGUGGCUGAGUGGUUUAAGGCGACAGACUGUAAAUCUGCUGAUUCACAUCAUCGCAGGUUCAAAUCCUGCCUUUCCCA